CCUAAUUAGCUCACGUCAUGUUUCACCUGGUUGUCUUAUGUGUUUGUACUAGCGGCGCCAUUUUUAAUUUUUAACCAUGUGCACCAGAAUCUGGCGAAUCAACCCAUUGCGAUAUAUGCAUUACUAUAAUCCGGUCUUUUGUUAGAGAUAGAGUUCCGAAAGAACACACAUUUGUUAGUAAAUAUCGAAUUGUACGGGGGAAGUGCAUGGUCAGCAUUUAAAAAAAAAAAAUAGACAAAUCAGUCCGGAGUCGUCAGUGGUGUUGGUUUUGUCACAAACAAACGCUAUGACCAAAUGGUUUGAGUUGCAAAGUCUUAAGUCACUCUGUUGGAAUCUGGAGAGUAACACGUGGAUGUGUUUAAUUUUGCAGUAGAAAGCUAAACAAACACAAGCCAUACUAUCCACCAAAAGACUCCGGAACGAGGUGGCUGUUUGACGCGGACAAGGUUAAACAAUGCAAAAGACUGGUGGAGGUGAAUAAUGGCUUGUCUUGAAAAUUUACUCAAUGGUCCUUCAAGAACAACUCAUGCUCUUUGAGGCUUGGAGAAGGCGGCAGAGGACCACUACACUGACACACAACACGAGAGCGACCCAGAGCGCUCCGAGUUUGGAAUUCCCGCACGGAAGCGCCACACUUGUGCAAAAAAACUGACGUGGGAAACCGGACGUGGGGUGGGGUGGGGGCGGUGUGCCGAAUGCGGGAGAAACCAUCAUGGAGAGGACGGGACUAGUCUGUGACUCCCACUUCGGCACACUGAGCUCCUUUGGUUUUUCGGCUGACCAGUUGUGUUCAUCACUUGAGGUUUCCCGCAUCCUAGGUCAAUACAGAAGGUCCAGUGAAGAGAACCGGUUUCUCCCAGCCCAGCAGAGCCCAUUUAGGCAGUAGCACAGUCUUUAUCAGAGGUCCAUAGUGAGACAGCUGUAUUCGAUUGGUCACCCUUUUUUCCCCCACAUAAAGCUCCCCCUAGUAUUUAGUACGAAUAGGGGGUUGUACACUUUGGACAAGUCCUGCACAAUUUGUGUGUGUGUGUGUCUAUCUCCAUUUGUAUGUGUGCUUUGAUAGACCAGUAAGUGACCCGAUCUGUGAACAACACAUCCGCGUCAGACCAAUUGUUC
ensembl:lncRNA